UGUCAACAGUGUCAUAGGGAUAUUCAACAAGGACAUUACAAAACUUUUACACAGGAUGAAGUCAAAAGUUGGAUGUAUUUCAGCAUUACCAGAAUCUGUGCUUCAGGAAAAUCCAGAUGGCAGUAAGGAGCUGGCCAUCUCCCAGCUGAAUGGACAACUUCAGUGUGCCUGCUGAACAACUUCACUGUACUGGUAUUUCACUGGGUUGAGAUUUGGUGAGUGUGAAGGCCAUAGCAUAUAAUUAACAUAAUUUUCACAUUCCUCAAACCAUCAAUGAUCCCUCACGCCCUGUGAUAAGGAGCAGGGUCAUCCUGGAAGAGAUCACUCCCAUCAGGAUAGAAAUGUUUCAGCACAGCAUAAAUAUGAUCAGUCAGAAUCCUUCUGUAUUGCAGUGUCUCAUUAUACUUCAAUGUCGCAUGCAGUUAUAUCCAUGUGUAAUAUGUAUUUAUUUCUACAUGGAGAAAAAAGUAAAUACCAA